CAACUCACUCCAUCGUGAACCCAUGUGAUUCCAGCGCAAGGUGGUGACGACUGACGACUGAGGAGAAUGCCCGUGCCCUGUUCGUCUUGUUCCGCUCGCGUCGCCUCUGUUUCCGCGCUGUUUGCUCUGUUCCUCGCCGCCGCUCUGGUCUUGCUUCAGCCCGGCAGCCAGCCGCGAGCUGUGACGGCAUGGCUCCGGAGCGCCGACUACAGCCGGCGGUGCAGCAAGCAGCAACGUUGCAGGCCCGCGCGGAGCGAGGCCGCGUUGCCUAGAGGCAUCAUUGAGAGCCACUCGGACUUGGAGAUGCGAUCCAUUCAUGACGAUCUAACAAGUUGGCCUCCGCCAGCAGAAAGUGGCAAAAGGAGAAGCCUGCUGGCCGUUGCUGCUGGAAUCAAGCAGAAGGAGGUUGUGGAUAGGAUCGCCACCAAGUUCUUCUCCGACGGUUUCAGCAUAAUGAUCUUCCACUACGACGGCGUGGUGGAGCAGUGGGGGGAUCUGCGGUGGAGCAGCGCCGCCGUGCACGUCUCGGCGGUCAACCAGACGAAAUGGUGGUUCGCCAAGCGGUUCCUGCACCCGGACAUCGUCCACGAGUACGACUACAUCUUCGUCUGGGACGAAGACCUUGGAGUGCAGCAUUUUCAUCCUGCCAGAUAUGUGGCGAUUGUUGAAAAGGAAGGGCUUCAGAUAUCACAGCCUGCUCUAGACGCUACCAAUUCCAAGGUUCAUCACUGGAUCACUGCGCGUGCGCGGAAAGGGGGCUUCCAUAGAAGGAUUUACAAGCAAAAGGGAGUCACCAGGUGCUAUGAAAACAGUACGGCGCUUCCAUGCACUGGAUUUGUCGAAAUUGUGGCUCCCGUGUUCUCAAGAGCAGCAUGGCAUUGUGUGUGGCAUAUGAUCCAGAACUAUCUGAUUCAUGCAUGGGGCUUGGACUUCAAAUUCGGCUGUUGCGCUCAGGGGGGUCGGAGUAAGAACGUUGGAGUAGUCGACAGCGAGUACCUCCUUCAUUUGGGCAUCCCCACACUCGGCUCCUCUUCUUCUCCUCCUUCUAAAGACAACAAGUACAGAGUAGCUCCGAUGCAGCACCAGGAGAUGAAUCGGAGGCGCCUAUAGAAUCAAUGAUGGCGCCUCCUCCUGAAGCAUCGCCCAGCUUCGGUGACAGAUCAUUGAUUAGGCAUCGGGCUCAAGAGGAACAGGUCCGUUUUCAAGAAAGAUGGAAGUAUGCUACUCAAUCUGAUGCAUGUUGGGUUGAUCCAUAUGUUAACUAAACAAACAUGUUAAAGGGUACCCACUUCUAGGGGUGGAUUAACGAGCAGCUCGGCUCGAAGCUCGUACUCGUUAAGCUCGUGCUCGUUAAGAUUAACAAACAGAAAACUCUGCUCGGCUCAGCUCGUUUGAAGCUCGUUAAGCUCGUGAGCGCUCGUUAAGAGAUUAUAAUGUGUUACGAUAUACAUGAUGAAUGUAUAUGUAUGGUUUUCAAGAUAAAAUAUGGUGACUAUAAAAA